rnacentral:misc_RNA from 1 species
UCUCCUUCUCUGGGUAGUCUCUCAAUUUCAACAUAGAUGUCAGCAUUGGCCGAGCCAACAACAACAAGCGGCGGGGCGUUGGCUUCCGGAUUAACUGGUGUUGGAGGGUGUUUGGAGGAUUUAAGUACAAAUGAAGGAAAUGAGUGAGUUUUGGUUGAUGGGUUUUGAUUUUGGUUUUGGUUCUUGACGAAUUGAAUUGGUUUCGUGCUUAUUGACGAUCUUCUGGGUGCGCUGUGAGAUUUAUUAAAGAAGCUAUGGGAGUUUGCGGGUGAAAAGGCUAUUCCUUUCAUGUUUGUUCUAACAGAAUACUCUCAGAUCAAAUCUCAAUUUCUCCUUCAGAUCAAACACCUGUUUGCAAGCCAUUGUUAUCUU